rnacentral:lncRNA from 1 species
GUCAUUUUCAGUCCCUGUGACUUUGGUUGUCUGCAGUGUGAGAUCAUUUUUGGUCCCUGUGACUUUGGUUGUCUGCAGGGUGAGGUCAUUUUUGGUCCCUGUGACUUUGGUUACCUGCAGAGUGAGGUCAUUUUCGGUCCCUGUGACUUUGGUUACCUGCAGGGUGAGGUCAUUUUCAUUCCCUGUGGCUUUGGUUGUCUUCAGAGUGAGGUCAUUUUUGGUCCCUGUCGCUUUGGUUGUCUGCAGAGUGAGGUCAUUUUCGGUCCCUGUGACUUUGGUUACCUGCAGAGUGAGGUCAUUUUCGUUCCCUGUGGCUUUGGUUGUCUUCAGAGUGAGGUCAUUUUUGGUCCCUGUUGCUUUGGUUGUCUGCAGAGUGAGGUCAUUUUCGGUCCCUGUGACGUUGGUUGUCUGCAGGGUGUGGUCAUUUUUGGUCCCU